ACGGAGGAUCCGAGCGUUAUCCGGAUUUAUUGGGUUUAAAGGGAGCGUAGGCGGGUGCUUAAGUCAGUUGUGAAAGUUUGCGGCUCAACCGUAAAAUUGCAGUUGAUACUGGGCGCCUUGAGUGCAGCAUAGGUAGGCGGAAUUCGUGGUGUAGCGGUGAAAUGCUUAGAUAUCACGAAGAACUCCGAUUGCGAAGGCAGCUUACUGGACUGUAACUGACGCUGAUGCUCGAAAGUGUGGGUAUCAAACAG
rnacentral:rRNA from 1 species